AAAUUGAAGAGUUUGAUCAUGGCUCAGAUUGAACGCUGGCGGCAGGCCUAACACAUGCAAGUCGAACGGUAACAGGAAGCAGCUUGCUGCUUCGCUGACGAGUGGCGGACGGGUGAGUAAUGUCUGGGAAACUGCCUGAUGGAGGGGGAUAACUACUGGAAACGGUGGCUAAUACCGCAUAACGUCGCAAGACCAAAGAGGGGGACCUUCGGGCCUCUUGCCAUCAGAUGUGCCCAGAUGGGAUUAGCUUGUUGGUGAGGUAACGGCUCACCAAGGCGACGAUCCCUAGCUGGUCUGAGAGGAUGACCAGCCACACUGGAACUGAGACACGGUCCAGACUCCUACGGGAGGCAGCAGUGGGGAAUAUUGCACAAUGGGCGCAAG
rnacentral:rRNA from 3 species